ACUCCUACGGGAGGCAGCAGUGGGGAAUAUUGGACAAUGGGCGCAAGCCUGAUCCAGCCAUGCCGCGUGAGUGAUGAAGGCCCUAGGGUUGUAAAGCUCUUUCACCGGUGAAGAUAAUGACGGUAACCGGAGAAGAAGCCCCGGCUAACUUCGUGCCAGCAGCCGCGGUAAUACGAAGGGGGCUAGCGUUGUUCGGAUUUACUGGGCGUAAAGCGCACGUAGGCGGACUAUUAAGUCAGGGGUGAAAUCCCGGGGCUCAACCCCGGAACUGCCUUUGAUACUGGUAGUCGUGAGUUCGAGAGAGGUGAGUGGAAUUCCGAGUGUAGAGGUGAAAUUCGUAGAUAUUCGGAGGAACACCAGUGGCGAAGGCGGCUCACUGGCUCGAUACUGACGCUGAGGUGCGAAAGCGUGGGGAGCAAACAGGAUUAGAAACCCGUGUAGUCCC
rnacentral:rRNA from 1 species